rnacentral:rRNA from 1 species
UACGUAGGGUGCAAGCGUUAAUCGGAAUUACUGGGCGUAAAGCGUGCGCAGGCGGUUUUGUAAGUUUGUCGUGAAAGCCCCGGGCUCAACCUGGGAAUGGCGAUGAAGACUGCAAGGCUAGAAUCUGGCAGAGGGGGGUAGAAUUCCACGUGUAGCAGUGAAAUGCGUAGAGAUGUGGAAGAACACCGAUGGCGAAGGCAGCCCCCUGGGAUG